UUGUGGCUAUAUCAGGUUGAAACACCUGUUCCUGUACAAUCAACAAAGUUAAGCAAUGUCAAGCCUGGUCAGUACUUAGAUGUGUCAUUGCUUGGGAAGAGAAGGUACUGUAA